rnacentral:rRNA from 1 species
UACGUAGGGUGCAAGCGUUAAUCGGAAUUACUGGGCGUAAAGCGUGCGCAGGCGGUUGUGUAAGACAGAUGUGAAAUCCCCGGGCUCAACCUGGGAACUGCAUUUGUGACUGCACGGCUGGAGUGCGGCAGAGGGGGAUGGAAUUCCGCGUGUAGCAGUGAAAUGCGUAGAUAUGCGGAGGAACACCGAUGGCGAAGGCAGCUCGCUGGGACGGUACUGACGCUGAGGCGCGAAAGCGUGGGGAGCAAACAGG